GGUUGUUCAGAGCAUCUACGUGGGGAUGAUUCACCCCACAAUAAAGCCCCUCUCGAAAAUGUGCAGUUCUGGCAGUUACCCUGGAUGGUUAUGCUAUCAUAAUUAAAACACAGAUGGAGCUCAUUUCUUUCCCAAGUGUUUGAUUGGCAGACACUCUGUGAUCAACACUCCUCUCUGCUGAACACAUCAGCACCAUCUGCCUUCAGUCUGCCUAGAGAG
rnacentral:lncRNA from 1 species